AGGAAACCUUCCUCUCCUCACCGCCCUCUUUCAGAAAUGACUGAAACCCCCCUUGUUUUGAAACAUUUUCACCAUGUGGGCCACUUGAAGGAUGUGUCUGAACUAGAGAAGAGCUGCAAGGCAGCCUGAGCGCUGCAGUGGGUGGUCUCACGUGGCCUGAGAUUAAUUGCAGAGACCUGAAGAGCUGUAGGAGCUGCCACCACCCACCCUCACCCUCCCCAGCCCUGGCUGCCAUCCCACCUGCAAAUGGGACCAGGCUGCACCGUGGUGGUGUCACCCUCAAGGUGAGGGAUUUGGAGCAUGAGAGAUACAGAGGAACUUUAUUCUUCUCUCAGGAAGGCAGUGAAGAAAAGAACACCUGGGAGCUCCUUUGUGGGCUGCAAUGUUCCCAAGGAACUAAUUAUUCCGAUUACAUCCCUUCCCUGGGAGGGUGGGGAGGCCCUGGCACAGGUUGCCCAGAGAAGCUGUGGCUGCCUCAUCCCUGGAAGUGUCCAAGGCCAGGUUGGAGGGGAUUUGGAGCAACCUGGGCUAGUGGGAGGGGUUGGAAUGAGAUGAUCUUUAAGGUCUCUUCCAACCCAAACCAUUCUGGGAUUCUAUUACUUGAGGAAAAACAUUGUGUUUCCCGACUGACUGAUGCUCAGCAUCCAAAAAAGGGCCUGGGGUGAAGACACAGUGUUUGAUGUUUGGCUCAGGCCAGAGUUUCCACACCCCCCUUCCCUGCAGUUCAGCCUCCUCCUUCCCCCUCAGCAGGACGUGUGUGGUUGCAGGAGCACAGACAGCCCAGCCUGGGGUCACCCACCAUGGUGACAGCGGCUGUGGAGCCACCUCUGACCCUCAGGGAUGGUUCUCCACAUGGAAACUGCACUCGAGGAGCACCGUGCAAAGUGUCCAACUUCUGUACAGGCAACAGGGGAGUGACCCAGAGGGGUCUCUUUAAAUUAGGGCUGUGAGUGGCAGGUCUGCCUCAAUAAUCUAUAAUAAUUUGCCUUUCAAAUCUUGGCCACCAGAGCUCGAGCAGCUUGUGAAUCACAAGAUCUUCAGUGGCAACAUUUAAGGAGCAAUUCGGUUUUGUCCAACUUGCCCAGUCUUGUUUCAGGUGAAACAUGAAAGACCAUUUUCCAUGCUGGCUCUUGGCAAUUACAGAAUCCCAGAACGGUUUGGGUUGGAAGAGACUUAAAGCUCUACUAAUUCCAACCCCCUGCCAUGGGCAAGGACACCUUCCACUAUCCCUGGUUGUUUAGAAAUUGCUGCUGUGGGUCUGUGGCCAAAUAAAAAAAUAGAAAACCAAAUUGUCCCUUCUGCCCCAACUCUGUCCUCGAAAAAACUCCCAACGCCUUCUCAAAAGAGCAGCUCACAAUGGGGAUGGGAUUUCUUUUGUUCCAGAGUUUCCAAGCUGCUGGAGAACCACGGUGUAUUGUUUCAGAAAGGGGCAGGAGUUCAGUUUUGGAAGAAGGAAGGUGUAACAAAUAAUUCUCACUUUUCUUGGCAGGGACUGUGGUGAGUUGGAAGCAGGGCCUGUGUUUCAAGUGAACAAUUCUCCUGCUGCCCAUGGGCCCCUGAGCUGCUCCUCGGGGGCUGGAAUAGGAGGGUACCAUUCUUCAGCACCUCCUGGCAUCCUUCCACAGGAGGUUUGGCUGUGGAAUUUCUGGUGAAAGGGUCCUGCUGCUUUGUUAGACAACAAAGAAAAAUCAGAGCUGGUCUGUGCUGUGGUGCAGAGGAAGAAGAGCUGAAAACACCAGGAAGGUGGAGCCUGACUCAAACCAGACUGGUCAUUGGGAUUCCCUAUUUGGGAAUGUGCUGGUGGAACAGGGAGCCUCACACAGGAGCUUUAUCAGAGGGUGAGAAACUGGAAGAAAGAGAAGCAGAAGGCCCUAAACAGUGCUGACUUAACACC